rnacentral:rRNA from 1 species
UAUGAAGGGGGCUAGCGUUGCUCGGAAUCACUGGGCGUAAAGGGUGCGUAGGCGGGUCUUUAAGUCAGGGGUGAAAUCCUGGAGCUCAACUCCAGAACUGCCUUUGAUACUGAAGAUCUUGAGUUCGGGAGAGGUGAGUGGAACUGCGAGUGUAGAGGUGAAAUUCGUAGAUAUUCGCAAGAACACCAGUGGCGAAGGCGGCUCACUGGCCCGAUACUGACGCUGAGGCACGAAAGCUAGGGGAGCAAACGGG